UACUUCUGUAAUGUUGAGGUAUAGUCCCUGGACCCAUUAUGUUCCUCUGUAAUGUUGAUGUGGAAAUUAAAUAACUGGAAUGUACCUCAGCAUUACAGUCAUAGAAGUAAUAUCAUGUAAGGUGACAACCAUAUAUUGUUUACAGUAGUUACCCCGUGUAGACGUGUGAGAAAACUUAAGCCACCCCUGGUUGCUGCAGGUGGCCCUGUGGAAAUUCUUUAAUUUCCGAAGCUAUAGUGCCUAAUAAGUGUUUAAUGUGUUGAUUUGGGUCAAAAUGUAUUUGUAUUUUGAAUGGAACCAACUGGGUUCCCGCUGCGCCUGCGCAGAUGUGCGGGGGGGGGGUAUAGGUCGAGCUGGUGCACAGGGUGGCAGCAGUGUUUUAAAUGUAGUGAGGAGGCUGGGAAACAUGGGAUCAGGAAAUUGGCGUUCACGGCGGCCUAAGGAUUAAUAUAGGCCUCACUUCCUAAUAGGAAGUGUCGUAAUUGUUCCUGGUGAAGAGUGAGGGAACAAGAUUUACGUGACCACCGUGAUAAAGUGGAAAAGUUACGACACUUCUUAUUAUGAAAUGGGACCAGUAAUCAUAUUUCGACCAUCAGAACCGCCAAUUUCCUGGUUCCAUGUUAACUAGCACACUCUCCCAGGCUUAUACCCUCAACAAGACCCCCGAUGCCCACCUCAGCCUCCCCUCUGCCCAUCAGCGCAGGCGCAGAGGUUCCCUAGGGCGGUAUGGGCGUGUGGGCGGCGGCCGGUAUGGGCGUGUCACUGAUCGGUGUGAUGGUGGUGGUGACGGUGGUGGUGGUGAGGCGACUCAGGGCAUCACACAAGGCACAACCAUACAAGGGAUACCAGGUGGUCACCACUCAGCCCGUGAGUUCAACCCUGUGUUCUGCCGUUUUGUCCACUGGGCGCUUCUAAACCCGUAUGGAUCGUACAGCACAUCACCGGAGGCGGGCCAGUAAUCAGGUGUGUUCUGAGGAACGGAAAGGUACCUCUUAAUUACUUGUGGCCAAGAGACCUCUCUUAUGGGGAUCACGGAAGUGAAGGUAAGAAUCAUCUUCCUCGAAUCAAAUGUGAUUAUCCCCAAUUUCCCAGAAGCUGUAUG